rnacentral:rRNA from 1 species
AUUGAACGCUGGCGGCAUGCUUUACACAUGCAAGUCGAACGGUAACAGGCCGCAAGGUGCUGACGAGUGGCGAACGGGUGAGUAAUGCAUCGGAACGUGCCCAGUCGUGGGGGAUAACGCAGCGAAAGCUGUGCUAAUACCGCAUACGACCUAUGGAUGAAAGCGGGGGACCGUAAGGCCUCGCGCGAUUGGAGCGGCCGAUGUCAGAUUAGGUAGUUGGUGGGGUAAAGGCGCACCAAGCCAACGAUCUGUAGCUGGUCUGAGAGGACGACCAGCCACACUGGGACUGAGACACGGCCCAGACUCCUACGGGAGGCAGCAGUGGGGAAUUUUGGACAAUGGGCGCAAGCCUGAUCCAGCAAUGCCGCGUGCAGGAAGAAGGCCUUCGGGUUGUAAACUGCUUUUGUACGGAACGAAAAGGUCUGGGUUAAUACCCUGGGCUGAUGACGGUGCCGUAAGAAUAAGCACCGGCUAACUACGUGCCAGCCGCCGCGGUAACAC